GUUAAGAGUUGAAUAAAAGCCAUUGUUUAGUUGAACAUAUAUUUACUGUAAGACAUGGGAAUACCAAGACCGGUAAGACAUGGUGUCCGCUCUCAUGGAGCUAGCUCAAGGCAACCGCUAUGUAUGUAACUGUGGUUAUUCGUUAUGAGGGAUAAAGGAAAAGAAGCUCGUACGUUUAUUCUGCCGUAUAACUAACAAGUUUACAGGUAAUGCUCUGGUACCGUGAAAGCAAAGUUCCAGCACGUCACAGUCAAUCCCAACAGUUCUGCGCAAACUAACGAUAGGCAAGGAAAGGAGAAAAGUGUGAACGCACACGAUGGCCAACAUUUCCUCCUUUCUCUGUCUGUCGUUUUGUCUGACCUGACAAGGGGGCUGAGGUGCAGGAGCGCAGGGCUCGGAGCAGGCACCGGGCCCCGAACAUCGCGCUGCUGCCGCAAGCUCUCCUCGGGACCAGCACGGAUCCCGGCGGACAGGGAGGAGCGGAGACAACACAGCCAGCUGACUAAGCCUAAAAUACCACGCGCCGUAGCCAGCAGAGACACUUCAGGGACCCGCGUCUUUUCCAAACCCACAGACCACACCGCCUCCCCCAGCUGAAACACGCGCGGCCACCGCCCCUACGCCACAAGCCAACGUCAACGUCAUCACGCUACAAGGAGACCAAGAAGGAGCGUGCGCACUGGUGUUGUUGCUGGAGCAACUGAGGAGCACAGCUGGGAUGAGGUCUGAAAGGUCUUCAUUUCUACAGCUUCCAGUUGAUGCUGAAGGACACUGAGAGGCAAGGAGUGACUGAUGCACAGGGAAAGCCUCCAGGAGACUUAGUUGUUGAGAGGAUUAGCCUGAGGAUAUCGGCCAUUCCUGAGUUCUGAGCACAAAGACGAGGCACAGACCCUUGCUUAAGUCACAGUUGUGUGGUAUCAGACAUCUAAACAGACAAGUGCAUAAGAGUGAUAGGAUGCCAGAGAUGGCUUACUGGAGAAGGUAACCCUCUGACGACUGAAGAGUAACUUGAAGGGACUCUGUUUAUGCAAUUCAGAGAAGGCACGACAGUGUGAAGAUGUUGGGGAGAGGCUAGAGGGAAUGUUGGCCAUUGCCUGCCGGAAUCUUCAAAUCUCUUUUUUCCAACACAGUUAUCUGCAUUUGUUUGACCAGGAAACAAUGACCCUUUUAAGUUUAUCCCCCCACCACCAAUUAAAAAAAAUUCUGUAAUUCAGUGACAAUCAUGAAAAGGUUUCUAUCUAAUUAAAAGAAAGAAGGGCUAAUAACA